CCUACGGUGUGCAGCAGUGGGGAAUAUUGGACAAUGGGCGAAAGCCUGAUCCAGCCAUGCCGCGUGUGUGAAGAAGGCCUUCGGGUUGUAAAGCACUUUCAGUGGGGAAGAAAGCCUUGGGGCUAAUACCCUCGAGGAAGGACAUCACCCACAGAAGAAGCACCGGCUAACUCCGUGCCAGCAGCCGCGGUAAUACGGAGGGUGCGAGCGUUAAUCGGAAUUACUGGGCGUAAAGCGCGCGUAGGCGGUCUGAUAAGCCGGUUGUGAAAGCCCCGGGCUCAACCUGGGAACGGCAUCCGGAACUGUCAGGCUAGAGUGCAGGAGAGGAAGGUAGAAUUCCCGGUGUAGCGGUGAAAUGCGUAGAGAUCGGGAGGAAUACCAGUGGCGAAGGCGGCCUUCUGGACUGACACUGACGCUGAGGUGCGAAAGCGUGGGUAGCAAACAGGAUUAGAUACCCUGGUAGUC
rnacentral:rRNA from 1 species